UACGUAGGGUGCGAGCGUUAAUCGGAAUUACUGGGCGUAAAGCGUGCGCAGGCGGUCUGUUAAGACCGAUGUGAAAUCCCCCGGGCUUAACCUGGGAACUGCAUUGGUGACUGGCAGGCUUUGAGUGUGGCAGAGGGAGGUAGAAUUCCACGUGUAGCAGUGAAAUGCGUAGAGAUGUGGAGGAAUACCGAUGGCGAAGGCAGCCUCCUGGGCCAACACUGACGCUCAUGCACGAAGCGUG
rnacentral:rRNA from 1 species